rnacentral:lncRNA from 1 species
UCAAAAUUUAUAGCUUAAAGCUAACACUUAUAAAGAAGAUCCGCAUCCCAGGUUGUGAGUUUUGGGGAUAGCACUUCAGAAUGAGAUAAAAGCUGCUUGAGGUUAGAUACAUAUGAAGGCUUGUAAAUAUUUUGAAAAAUGGAAUUAAUAUGUGUUCUGGCAGCACAAAAGUCUUUUAGGUAGCCUUGAGUUAUUUUAGAGUGAGGGAGCUUUCCCUUCACAUCUCAUUGUGCCAAGUAGGACUCCUGCUCUAAGAUGUCUUACACACCUGGCUCUAAGCAGCAGCUGUAGUAAUGCAUAUGUGAUGUCGCUGCUGACCUCAAGAGGGGGCUCCACACAUUGAGUAAAAACAAAGCAAUCUUACAUGGAGAGGCCUUCCUGACACUUGUCAUCACUGCUGCCUUUGAAUGUGUACCUUAGUGUCAUCUCUGAGAUAAGGGCCAGUUCUAAUACAUGUGGCUGAUCAACAGGACAUGGUUGAAUACUUGGUAAGGACUUCUCUUUAGGAAUGGUUUUCAUGUAUUAAUCUAGUUUUAAUUAAUCUAAACAUUGAUGAACUUGAUUAUAUUUUGGUGCAGAGCUGAACUGCUUUAUCAGAUGGGAAGUUUUGUCUCAUGUUCACUAAAUCCAAGUAAGUUUACCCUAGAAUUAUUAAAAACAGAGAGAAGUUCUAGUUUCAUGUCUUUCACGCUUCUGAACAACAACUUUUUGUGCUAUCUGUUCUCUGAUUUACACCCACCAGACUAAUUUACAAACAACUCCUUGCAGUGUAUUAACGUUUCAUGAUGAGAUGAAGUGGAAAGUGUUCUAUGACACAAAAGCCCUUUACUCAAGGGGUACCGCAGGGUUGAGAAAAGCUUUCCACUCCAAAUGGUGUCAUUAUGUUCUCUAUAAUGGGUGCGAUUGUUUAAUAAUGACAUAUUUGAGCUGAGAUGAUUGAACAUACAUUAUUUGAGUAAUAAAAACUCAAUAGGCUAUGCCUUUUUAAGCAGUUAAUGUAUGCCUAGGGUAAGAUAAGACAGAAAAGCCUCGUUGUCAUCCUCCAUAAAAAGAGCAAAAUCUUAAAGGUGCAGGUUUGAAAGUAUAUUUCUGUAAACGGGAUUUACACAGAAGGCUAUCC